AGAGUUUGAUCCUGGCUCAGGACGAACGCUGGCGGCGUGCCUAAUACAUGCAAGUAGAACGCUGAAGAGAGGAGCUUGCUCUUCUUGGAUGAGUUGCGAACGGGUGAGUAACGCGUAGGUAACCUGCCUUGUAGCGGGGGAUAACUAUUGGAAACGAUAGCUAAUACCGCAUAACAAUGGAUGACACAUGUCAUUUAUUUGAAAGGGGCAAUUGCUCCACUACAAGAUGGACCUGCGUUGUAUUAGCUAGUAGGUGAGGUAACGGCUCACCUAGGCGACGAUACAUAGCCGACCUGAGAGGGUGAUCGGCCACACUGGGACUGAGACACGGCCCAGACUCCUACGGGAGGCAGCAGUAGGGAAUCUUCGGCAAUGGGGGCAACCCUGACCGAGCAACGCCGCGUGAGUGAAGAAGGUUUUCGGAUCGUAAAGCUCUGUUGUAAGUCAAGAACGAGUGUGAGAGUGGAAAGUUCACACUGUGACGGUAGCUUACCAGAAAGGGACGGCUAACUACGUGCCAGCAGCCGCGGUAAUACGUAGGUCCCGAGCGUUGUCCGGAUUUAUUGGGCGUAAAGCGAGCGCAGGCGGUUAGAUAAGUCUGAAGUUAAAGGCUGUGGCUUAACCAUAGUACGCUUUGGAAACUGUUUAACUUGAGUGCAGAAGGGGAGAGUGGAAUUCCAUGUGUAGCGGUGAAAUGCGUAGAUAUAUGGAGGAACACCGGUGGCGAAAGCGGCUCUCUGGUCUGUAACUGACGCUGAGGCUCGAAAGCGUGGGGAGCGAACAGGAUUAGAUACCCUGGUAGUCCACGCCGUAAACGAUGAGUGCUAGGUGUUGGAUCCUUUCCGGGAUUCAGUGCCGCAGCUAACGCAUUAAGCACUCCGCCUGGGGAGUACGACCGCAAGGUUGAAACUCAAAGGAAUUGACGGGGGCCCG
rnacentral:rRNA from 1 species